rnacentral:rRNA from 1 species
UACAGAGGGUGCAAGCGUUGUUCGGAAUUAUUGGGCGUAAAGCGCGUGUAGGCGGCUUUGCAAGUCGGGUGUGAAAGCCCUCAGCUUAACUGAGGAAGUGCGCCCGAAACUGCAGAGCUUGAGUACCAGAGAGGAUGGCGGAAUUCCCCAAGUAGAGGUGAAAUUCGUAGAUAUGGGGAGGAACACCGGUGGCGAAGGCGGCCAUCUGGAUGGAUACUGACGCUGAGACGCGAAAGCGUGGGUAGCAAACAGG